rnacentral:rRNA from 1 species
UACGGGGGGGGUAAGCGUUGUUCGGAAUUACUGGGCGUAAAGGGCUCGUAGGCGGCCAACUAAGUCGGACGUGAAAUCCCUCAGCUUAACUGGGGAACUGCGUCCGAUACUGGAUGGCUUGGAUUUGGGAGAGGGAUGCGGAAUUCCAGGUGUAGCGGUGAAAUGCGUAGAUAUCGGGAGGAACACCAGUAGCGAAGGCGGCUCGCUGGGCCAUUCCUGACGCUGAGACGCGAAAGCUAGGGGAGCGAACAGG